UACAGAGGUCUCAAGCGUUGUUCGGAUUCAUUGGGCGUAAAGGGUGCGUAGGUGGCGCCGUAAGUCAGGUGUGAAAUUUCGGAGCUUAACUCCGAAACUGCAUUUGAUACUGCGGUGCUUGAGGACUGGAGAGGAGACUGGAAUUCACGGUGUAGCAGUGAAAUGCGUAGAUAUCGUAAGGAAGACCAGUGGCGAAGGCGAAUCUCUGGACAGUUACUGACACUGAGGCACGAAGGCCAGGGGAGCAAACGGG
rnacentral:rRNA from 1 species